GGACAGAGAAGCCUGGAGGGCUGCAGUCCAUGGAGUCACAAAUAGUGAGACAAAACUGAGAGAUUAAGCAUAGCACAGCACAUGUACCUAUAUAGGAACAUCAGCACUUCUAAAGGCUGAAAAUCCAGGCUGGUUCCUGGAAAAGAGUCACAGAUGAGGUAAAGAAAAGCCAGCAGGACUUUUGGCAGUCCUGUAGACUAGGAGUGACAAAAAUGGAGAUUUAUGGACUUCAGUACUGAGUAAGUCUCUCCCUCAAGGCAUCUGCCAACUGAAACUUCAUAGGGUGGCAGGCUAAAGAGCUAAGUCAAAAACCUCUCAGUGUGUGUGCUCUUUUGCAACCCCGUGGACUAUAGCCCACCAGGCUUCUCUUCUCAUGGGAUUUUCCAGGCAAGAAUACUGGAGUGGUUUACCAUUUCCUCCUCCAGGGGAUCUUCCUGACCCAGGGAUCAAACUUGCAUCUCCUGCCUUGCCAGGUGGAUUCUUUGCCACUGAGCCACCUGGGAAGACCAUGCAAGCCACUGCUGCUGCUGCUGCUAAGUCGCUUCAAAUCGGACAUGACUGAAGCGACUUAGGAGCAGCAACAAGGUAAUAAGUGAUGAUUAAAAGUAUAAUUAUGAUUAUAUAAGUAUAAUAUGACUAAAAUGUUAUGAUUUAAAAUAUAAUUUGAAAGAAGUCAAAAGGAGCAAAAUAAAAUUUUAUUUUGUAAAUAUUACUGUGAUGAGCAUCUUAGGAGAUACUAGGUCACAUAAGAAUGAACACUGUUAAAGCCCUUGGUAUAAGCUGCCUAACCUUGGUGAUGCUAUUUAAAUACAAUAUGACUUGAAAAGAAACCUGUAAAACAUAGGAAUCUGAAAAACAAAAAAUCUUGAAAAUGCAAGACUCCCUAAUGAAGGUUUUCAUGACAUAGGUACAGCACAAAUACAGCACUUUAACAUUUAAAAAGAAUUUUAUUAUAUAUUGUUUUAUUUGAUACUGAAACCAAUUCUAUAGAAGUGCUAUGACUGAUAUCUCCAUUGGUAAUGUGUCCCAAACCCAUCAGUUAAUAAUCUAUAUGAAAGUGAAA
ensembl:lncRNA